CAGAAGUGAAAUCCAUGUGUGCUGCUUCACAGCGAUAUUAUCUUUAAAAUUUACUGAUUUCUUUAAUUUUCUGUUCUCAGAACGCUUUAUGUGAAAUUACCUAAAACCCGUUGAACCAUGAGAGAUGAUAAUGAGUUCAGCCAAACCAAGCUCGACCAGAUUUGCCGAUUGGCAGCCGAAUUGCAUUAGGGAGCAAAAACGAAUUUAUUAAUCUACCAAAUAUACCGACUAAGACAUGCAAACAGCUUUGUUUUAUUGUCCCCGGACUGUGAUUGAUAAACCGGAUGAAUCCUCCCGUUGGCCACAGCCAACAGUAGUUCAA